rnacentral:rRNA from 1 species
UACGAAGGGGGCUAGCGUUACUCGGAUUGACUGGGCGUAAAGGGCGCGUAGGCGGCUUGUACAGUCAGACGUGAAAUUCCUGGGCUCAACCCCGGGCCUGCAGCCGAUACGGGCAAGCUAGAAUUCGGUAGGGGAGACUGGAAUUCCUGGUGUAGCGGUGAAAUGCGCAGAUAUCAGGAGGAACACCGGUGGCGAAGGCGGGUCUCUGGGCCGAAAUUGACGCUGAGGAGCGAAAGCGUGGGGAGCAAACAGG